GACGAACGCUGGCGGCGUGCUUAACACAUGCAAGUCGAACGGAAAGGCCCUGCUUUUGUGGGGUGCUCGAGUGGCGAACGGGUGAGUAACACGUGAGUAACCUGCCCUUGACUUUGGGAUAACUUCAGGAAACUGGGGCUAAUACCGGAUAGGAGCUCCUGCUGCAUGGUGGGGGUUGGAAAGUUUCGGCGGUUGGGGAUGGACUCGCGGCUUAUCAGCUUGUUGGUGGGGUAGUGGCUUACCAAGGCUUUGACGGGUAGCCGGCCUGAGAGGGUGACCGGCCACAUUGGGACUGAGAUACGGCCCAGACUCCUACGGGAGGCAGCAGUGGGGAAUAUUGCACAAUGGGCGGAAGCCUGAUGCAGCAACGCCGCGUGCGGGAUGACGGCCUUCGGGUUGUAAACCGCUUUCGCCUGUGACGAAGCGUGAGUGACGGUAAUGGGUAAAGAAGCACCGGCUAACUACGUGCCAGCAGCCGCGGUGAUACGUAGGGUGCGAGCGUUGUCCGGAUUUAUUGGGCGUAAAGGGCUCGUAGGUGGUUGAUCGCGUCGGAAGUGUAAUCUUGGGGCUUAACCCUGAGCGUGCUUUCGAUACGGGUUGACUUGAGGAAGGUAGGGGAGAAUGGAAUUCCUGGUGGAGCGGUGGAAUGCGCAGAUAUCAGGAGGAACACCAGUGGCGAAGGCGGUUCUCUGGGCCUUUCCUGACGCUGAGGAGCGAAAGCGUGGGGAGCGAACAGGCUUAGAUACUCUGGUAGUCCACGCUGUAAACGGUGGGUACUAGGUGUGGGGUCCAUUCCACGGGUUCCGUGCCGUAGCUAACGCUUUAAGUACCCCGCCUGGGGAGUACGGCCGCAAGGCUAAAACUCAAAGGAAUUGACGGGGCCCCGCACAAGCGGCGGAGCAUGCGGAUUAAUUCGAUGCAACGCGUAGAACCUUACCUGGGUUUGACAUGGAUCGGGAGCGCUCAGAGAUGGGUGUGCCUCUUUUGGGGUCGGUUCACAGGUGGUGCAUGGCUGUCGUCAGCUCGUGUCGUGAGAUGUUGGGUUAAGUCCCGCAACGAGCGCAACCCUUGUUCACUGUUGCCAGCACGUUAUGGUGGGGACUCAGUGGAGACCGCCGGGGUCAACUCGGAGGAAGGUGGGGAUGACGUCAAGUCAUCAUGCCCCUUAUGUCCAGGGCUUCACGCAUGCUACAAUGGCUGGUACAGAGAGUGGCGAGCCUGUGAGGGUGAGCGAAUCUCGGAAAGCCGGUCUCAGUUCGGAUUGGGGUCUGCAACUCGACCUCAUGAAGUCGGAGUCGCUAGUAAUCGCAGAUCAGCAACGCUGCGGUGAAUACGUUCCCGGGGCU
rnacentral:rRNA from 1 species